AUACUUACCUGGACGCGGGGUCAAUGGGCGAUCAAGAAUGUCCAUGGCCUAGGUUUGUGACCUCCAUUGCACUUUGGAGGGGUGCUGGCCUAAGAUAUCCCCAAGUGGGAUAGUCUACGUCAUAAUUUGUUGCCGAGAGGGUACGCGUCCGCGCGUCCCCCUA